UACGUAGGGGGCGAGCGUUGUCCGGAGUUAUUGGGCGUAAAGCGCCCGCAGGCGGUCAGGCGCGUUUUGUGUGACAGCUGCUGGCUUAACUAGCAGAGCAUGCGAAAGACGGCGUGACUUGAGGGCCAGAGAGGGUCCUGGAAUUCCGGGUGGAGCGGUGAAAUGCGUAGAGAUCCGGAGGAACACCGAAGGCGCAGGCAGGGUCCUGGCUGGUCACUGACGCUGAGGGGCGAAAGCUAGGGGAGCGAACGGG
rnacentral:misc_RNA from 1 species